AACUACGUGCCAGCAGCCGCGGUGACACGUAGGCCCCAAGCGUUGUCCGGAUUUAUUGGGCGUAAAGCGCGCGCAGGCGGACCGCAGCAGUGGCGUGUGGAAUCUCCCGGCUCACCCGGGAGGGGUCAUGCCAGACGGGCGGUCUUGAGGCAAACAGUGGGUCGCGGAACGGGCAGAGUAGGGGUGAAAUCCGUAGAGACUGUCCGGAACACCAGAGGCGAAGGCGGCGACCUAGGUUUGAGAAGCAGUCGCGAGACUGUCCUGACGCUCAGGCGCGAAAGCGUGGGUAGCGAACGGAAUUAGAUACUCCGGUAGUCCACGCCCUAAACGAUGGCCACUCGGUGUCGGGGGUAUCGACCCCCUCGGUGCCUUAGCUAACGCGGUAAGUGGCCCGCCUGGGGACUACGGCCGCAAGGCUAAAACUCAAAGGAAUUGACGGGGGCCCGCACAAGCAGCGGAGCGUGUGGAUUAAUUCGAUGCAACGCGAAGAACCUUACCCAGGUUUGACAUGGCACUGGUAGGGAGGGGGAAACCCGAACGACCCGCAAGGGAGGUGUCACAGGUGCUGCAUGGCUGUCGUCAAGCUUCUGCCCGUGAGGUGUUGGGUUAAGUCCGCAACGA
rnacentral:rRNA from 1 species